rnacentral:lncRNA from 1 species
CCGAGUCUGUGGUCAUCUUUUAUAGCUUCAACAGGAAAGUGAUACAUUGCUUUUCACUCAGAGCAUGUGUGAGAGUACCUGAGAAACAAAUGCUGGAAAGACUUUUUUGUCUGGGUUCCAUUUUCAUGAAAUGCUCAGACUUACAAAAAUAUAUAAUAAGGUAAUAGACACUGUGGAAUUUACUUUACUGGCCUAAAAACAAAACAUUUCAAAUACAUUUGAAUUCUUCCAGACACCCUUCCUCUACUAUGUUCCUCUCGAUCCAUCUCUGAGUUUAAAGCAUGUGAUUCUCCCAGAGCAAACAUCAUUUUAUCAUUUUGAGGAAUCUUUUCAUUGGCAACACCAGAGGGUCUCCAGGCUUUCAAGCUAGGAGCUUCUACAUGGAAAGAUGAAACGAUCCUAUCACUUACCCACAAGCCU